AGGUUACUGUAUGCUUUAAAUUUCCUGCGAUAUAUUGAAUGUAUUCUUAAGAUUAAUGUUUUGCUGCUGUGUAAAGUGUACAGAGCUUGAAAGACAGCCUGUGAUGUAGGGGAGAACCUGAAAUGGGCUCGUACUCAGAAGUUUUCCCUAAGUAAUGGAAUGGGAAUAAAGUGAAUUUCUUCAGCUGUCCCCUUCUGGGCUUAUCUGGUGAAGAGUAAGACUUGGUUUUUGCUGUGUUUGAGCAACUUGCUACUGCCCAAGUCAUGACACUCCCAUUUCGAAAGGACUUAGACAAGUACAAAGAUCUUGAUGAAGAUGAAAUUCUUGGCAAACUUUCAGAAGAAGAACUGAAACAACUGGAAACUGUUUUGGAUGACCUUGACCCUGAAAAUGCCCUUCUGCCUGCAGGCUUCCGACAGAAAGACCAGACUACUAAAAAGGCUUCAGGUCCUUUCGACAGGGAAAGACUCCUUGCAUAUUUGGAGAAGCAGGCUCUUGAGCACAAAGACAGGGAAGACUAUGUGCCUUUUACAAGAGAAAAGAAAGGAAAGAUAUUUAUCCCCAAGCAGAAGCCUGUACAGUCUUACACAGAAGAAAAAUUCUCUCUGGAUCCAGAACUAGAGGAAGCCUUGACCAGUGCCACAGACACAGAAUUAGGUGACCUUGCAGCCAUACUGGGAAUGUCCAACUUGAUAACAAAUAAUCAGUUCUGUGAUGUAGUAGGAAGCAGUAAUGGGAUUGACAAAGACAGUUUCUCAAAUAUAGUAAAAGGUGAAAAAAUGUUGCCUGUUUUUGAUGAACCUCCAAAUCCCACAAAUGUUGAGGAGACACUGCAAAGGAUUAAAGAUAAUGAUCCCCGUCUUGUUGAAGUUAACCUAAAUAACAUUAAGAACAUACCAAUUCCAACGCUGAAGGAAUUUGCAAAAGCAUUAGAAACCAACACGCAUGUAAAGAAUUUUAGCCUUGCAGCCACCCGCAGCAAUGAUCCCGUCGCUAUUGCUCUUGCAGAGAUGCUGAGAGUAAACACAAAAUUGAAAAGUUUAAACAUAGAAUCAAACUUCAUCACUGGAGUUGGAAUUUUGGCACUGGUCGAUGCACUGAAAGACAAUGAAACACUGACAGAGAUAAAAAUUGACAAUCAGAGGCAGCAGCUGGGCACAGUUGCAGAAGUAGAAAUUGCCAAGAUGCUUGAAGAAAACACCAUGAUCCUCAAAUUUGGAUACCAUUUCACACAACAGGGACCUCGAGCCAGGGCAGCUGCAGCUAUUACAAAAAAUAAUGAUUUGGUCUGGAGUAUGCAAGUAAAAGUUUCCGCAAAUACUUUUUCAUCUCUUCAGCCCUGAAGCUACAGAGACAGGUUAUCCUGAAUACCCAGUUGGGCUUUGAGUACUGAAAACUGACAUGUUCGAAGUCUCUCAUUUCUGUCUUUUUCGCAAGAGAAGGGUUGAAGGAGACAACUAAUAAGUCUUGUUGUUGUCAAAACUGCGUGGAGAUUUCAAGAGUCAAGGCAUGCUCCUCACCAUGGGCUUUGACCAUCUUGAACUACAGUUACCUGGGUUAGAAGGGAAAAGACUGGAAACUCCAUUCCAUUUAAAGUAAAGCUUUAUUAAUAAUCUGCUGGUAUGCGUCACAUUUUUCAGAUUGAGGCACAGAAACCGCACCAGUGUCUGUACUACGUUUUUUGAUUGUUUUUUUAAGAACAUUUUUGUAUUUCGAGACUUUGGCUGUGCUUUCUACUAAAAUUAUAAUUGCCAAUUAAUGGUAUACUUGUCUGUAAUCAAAGAAUGGGACAUUCAAGAUUACUGGGCAGAUAAUAACGCAAUUGAAAUGCUUGUUAGAAAAUCUGGGGGUGCUUAUUUACGUGAAGGGGUGUGUAUAAUCUUGAAAACAAUGCAUUAGUGAUAAGGGAUUCUUCACACAACAGUGGGACUCAUUGUGUAGAGCAGUUCAACCCUGUUCAUAUGCACUGAAAAGAAAUCUUUCACAGCUAUCUGAUUUGUAAUUCUUUUUUAUUUUUGAUUCAUUCUUGAUACUGUGAUUAUCUAAGCUUAAAGACAUCCCUUUAAACCAAACAAAAAUAAAUUGGCUAACGAUGUCUUCCAAGCAAUUUGAGGGACUAAUAAAAGAGUGGAAAUCAAAAGAAAAAGCAGGAGGCUUGCAAAAUGACAGUGUUUCCAUUACACCUAAGUCCUUAAUAUGCGUUUCAAAAUGUUCAAUAACUGUAUCUAAACUGGAUUUAGAUACUGAUAAACACUGAUUUUGUGUGCUCAUCAUCAUUAUUUAGUUUAUAUUGGCUUCUUUAAGUAACUUUAUCUGCAUUCUUAAGUAUGAGUUUCUCUAGAAGUAGUAGACAUGCAUUUGUUAAAUUCUGAAUGAUUCUGUACAGAAGAAUCACAGAAUAGUUUGGGUUGGAAGGGACCUUAAAGAUCAUCUAGUUCCAACCCCCCUGCCAUGGGCAGGAUCAAUCCUACUGGAUCAGGCUGCCCAAGACCCAUCCAAACUGGUCUUGAACACCUCCAGGGAUGAGGCAGCCACAACUUCCCUGGGCAACCUGUUGCAGUGCCUCAGCACCCUCAUUGUGAAGAAAUUCCUUCAUGAAGAAGCAGCCUUAACUGUAAAACCACUGUCCUAAGUUGCUGGCAAAUGGAAAAAAUCCUUUGUUUCAAGCUGUUGCAUUGAGCUAUUAGUACUUCAUAUAUAUCUUUAGUUUUUUAAUAAAGCAAUGAAGUAACAUUUUUAAGAAAGGAUUUUUCUAUGCUACUUAUGUAUUGAUGCUGAAACACUACAUAAGACAAGUAGAAAUUAACCAAUAUGCGGUGUCAAAUCACUAUGGCAUAGUAAUUAUUAAAGUAUUUCAAGUCUAUAUCUAAGCAAACUAAUAAGGCAAUAAGAAUUACUUCAACUUCUGUACGUAAUCACAGUAGGCUUAAUUGAAAUAAUAUGAAAAUUUAGAGGCUUUUUGGUGUAGGUCUGUUUGGACUGUACCAUACUGGUUUGGUCAAUGAGAUCAUAAACUCACAAAAAUGUUCUGAAGAACUGCUCAGUUAUAUUUAUAGCAACAGAGAAUUCAACUGACAAUUGUUUUCAUCAGGGGACCGUUAUAUGGUGAGCAUUUUAUGCAUAGAAAACAUAUUGGACUGAGAUUUUUACAUCAGGUUGUACAUACUAUAAAAAUGAGAGUGACUCUGACACUGUGCCCAUGUUGUUCUUUGCUGCAAAUCGUGUUUUGGAUCUUCAAAGACAGACUGUAUUCUGGACUUUAAAUUCUAUUGCAACUGUACAGAGUGUAUUAAACUAUAGUGCCUUCAAAGAGGAUGUACAUAACUUGUGGAAGAACAUUUAUUUUCCUGUUUCAAAAUCAGCCUUUUAUUAUAAUUACAAAUAAAUAUGUGCUCUGAAAAGAAAGUUGGAAUUAGUUCUGUUAAAACUGAAGACUAUAUAUGCUAUAGCUUCAGAACAACUCGAAGUAAUCAGACUAGUUAAAAAAGCGCUUCUUUUGGGUUUGGCUUCUGUUAAUUUUCAAUAACUUUUUCAUUUUGAAAUUGAAGUUCUGAGAUAACGUGUGAGUUAAGUGACUUUUUACAGACAGUGCUGUAAACACAGCCAAAGCACAUCACGUGCCGAGUUGCCUAAAGCCGUUCUUUACUUUGUAUUUGCUAGGCACCAUAAUCAUUUUGUGUCAAAAAAAGCUGUAAUGCCUUCCUUCAUUUGUUGAAGGGCUGCAUGU